rnacentral:rRNA from 1 species
UACGUAGGGUGCAAGCGUUGUCCGGAAUUAUUGGGCGUAAAGAGCUCGUAGGCGGUCUGUCGCGUCUGCUGUGAAAACUCAGGGCUUAACCCUGAGCUUGCAGUGGGUACGGGCAGACUAGAGUGCGGUAGGGGAGACUGGAAUUCCUGGUGUAGCGGUGAAAUGCGCAGAUAUCAGGAGGAACACCGGUGGCGAAGGCGGUUCUCUGGGCAGUGUCCUGA